UCUUGCGAUUAAGGGUGUGACCACCUAAACAUUCUACUUGUAUCUCUCCGCGAGAUAACACAUAGAAUACUUAGUAAAUGAGUUUGAUGAACAUCAAAAUUUACACAAAAUGGUUUAUUUACAAAACACAAGGAUUUCUUUGAUAGUGAAUCAAAAGUACAUCAAACAUAAUGGCCACUACUAAGUGAUGCGUUCAAAAGGACACGUCGGGCAAUCAAGGUGACAAGUUUGAUGUGGGAUGUCCUUCACUACCUGGGGAGGGAGAGGUAAAACAAAACAUUUGGAAGGUUAAACGAAGAACGUCUACUAUGCAUAGAGGUCUCAACGCAAUUAGCAAGUUUCCAUCAAUUUUAGUUCGCAUAAUGCGUUUUCCAAUGCAAGAACACAUAACAGGCAACGAACAUCCCAUACAGAUCACACAGCAAGCAUAGGGCAUUCUACUCUAGAACACACAACAAGAAUAGAGCAUCUUAUCUCAGGUCACACAGUAAGAAUAGAGUAUCUUAUCUCAAGUCACACAGCAAGGAUAAAGCAUCCCACACUAGAUCACAUAGCAAGUGUGAGGCUCCUCAUGCAUAGGAAAUGAUGACUCCUGACCGGCGGCGAGGGUGGUCCAUUCGCAAGGUGCCACGUGUUUCUGCCAAAUCCUUAUCCUGGAUUCCAAUUGAGUAACAAGGUCAAAUCAAUUGUCGACCUACUAACGUAAGGGCGCAAUGCCACCAUCUUCUGGUGAAGCAUCACACUUCCCAAUAAAGGCCCCUUGUUUAUCGUGUAGAUUGCCUCCGCCAAAUAGGAUCUUGCCGUGCAAAAGGUUAAGCAAUUGAUGUGUAGAAUAUCUACAAGGAGAGUUGUUUAAAGCAAUUGAUGUUUAAAGCAUAAGACCAUUGAAGGAGUAGGGUAGAGCGUAAGGCCAUUGAAGGAUCAGGAGGAUAAAGCGUAAGACCAUUAAUGGGCUAGGAGGGUUGAGCGUAAGACCAUUGAAGGAUCAGGAGGGUGGAGCAUAAGACCAUUGAAGGAUCAGGAAGGUGUAACGUAAGUCCAUUGCAUCAUCAAGAGGGUGGAGCGUUAGACCAUUGGAGGAUCUAGAGGGUGGAGCGUAAAUCUGUAACAAAAAGGCAACAAAUGAGGAGAACAUAAGUUGGAAAUAAGAGAGAAAAAUUGCAUG